rnacentral:rRNA from 1 species
AGUACGUGAAACUGCUUAGAGGUUAAACCCGAUGAACCUGAAUAUCCAUUAUGGAAAAUUCAUCACUAAUGAUAUAAUAUGUAAGAAAUAUUUUAGAAAUAGUGUGCAAUUUUUCCAUAUAAGGACAUUGUAAUCUGUUAAUGUAGUAAAUAUUUAUCAUAAGGUCCAUUACACUAAGUUUAUUCAAAUUGGUUAUUUUCGGAUAAUUAACAUAGAAUAAAUGUUUUGGAUUUGAUAAAUCAUUGACAGAUAUAAUUAUGUAAUGUGCUUAAAUUUUUCGGAAUUUUAUCAAUGGUAGUAAAUAUUUUAUUUUCUAUUUAAUUGAUAUGCACUAUUAUGAUUAACAAUGCGAGAGAUUCAGGAUACCUUCGGGACCCGUCUUGAAACACGGACCAAGGAGUCUAACAUAUGUGCAAGUCAUUGGGUAUUUUUAAUAAAACCCAAUGGCGUAAUUAACUUAACUGCUAAUUAAUGGGAUUAGUUUAUAUUUUGUUAUGAAUUAUUAAUUCAAUCCCGGGGCGUUCUAUAUAGUUAUGUAUAAUAAUAUUUAUAUUAUUUAUGCCUCUAACUUGAGCGUCCUUGAGC